rnacentral:misc_RNA from 1 species
GAUGAAGAACGCAGCGAAAUGCGAUAAGUAGUGUGAAUUGCAGAAUUCCGUGAAUCAUCGAAUCUUUGAACGCACAUUGCGCCCUUUGGUAUUCCUUAGGGCAUGCCCGUUCGAGCGUCAUCUACACCCUCAAGCUCUGCUUGGUGUUGGGUGCCUGUCCCGCCUCCGCGUGUGGACUCACCUCAAAUCUAUUGGCGGCCCCUGUGCCGGCCCCGAGCGCAGCAGAAACGCGGUUCGUGGCCUGGUGAAGGGUGCUCCCAGAAGCAACAUUUACCGUUUUGACCUCGAAUCAGGUAGGGAUACCCGCUGAACUUAAGCAUAUCAAUAAGCGGAGGA